rnacentral:rRNA from 1 species
GUGCCAGCAGCGGCGGUAAUACGGAGGGUGCAAGCGUUAAUCGGAAUUACUGGGCGUAAAGCGCACGCAGGCGGUCUGUCAAGUCGGAUGUGAAAUCCCCGGGCUCAACCCGGGAACUGCAUUCGAAACUGUCAGGCUGGAGUCUUGUAGAGGGGUAGAAUUCCAGGGUGUAGCGGUGAAAUGCGUAGAGAUCUGGAGGAAUACCGGUGGCGAAGGCGGCCCCCUGGACAAAGACUGACGCUCAGGUGCGAAAGCGUGGGGAGCAAACAGGAUUAGAUACCCUGGUAGUCCACGCCGUAAACGAUGUCUAUUUGGAGGUUGUGCCCUUGGAGGCGUGGCUUCCGGAGCUAACGCGUUAAAUAGACCGCCUGGGGAGUACGGCCGCAAGGUUAAAACUCAAAUGAAUUGACGGGGCCCGCGACAAGCGGUGGAGCAUGUGGUUUAAUUCGAUGCAACGCGAAGAACCUUACCUGGUCUUGACAUCCACAGAAGUUUCAGAGAUGAGAAUGUGCCCUCGGGAACUGUAGAGACAGGUGCG